GGAAUCUUGGACAAUGGGGGCAACCCUGAUCCAGCAAUGCCGCGUGCGGGAAGAAGGCCUUCGGGUUGUAAACCGCUUUUGGCAGGGAAGAAAUUGUCCGUGCUAAUACCAUGGAUAGAUGACGGUACCUGCAGAAUAAGCACCGGCUAACUACGUGCCAGCAGCCGCGGUAAUACGUAGGGUGCGAGCGUUAAUCGGAAUUACUUGGCGUAAAGCGUGCGCAGGCGGUUGGGAAAGAUCGAUGUGAAAUCCCCGGGCUUAACCUGGGAAUUGCAUUGAUGACUAUCCGACUAGAGUACGGUAGAGGGGAGUGGAAUUCCGCGUGUAGCAGUGAAAU
rnacentral:misc_RNA from 1 species